rnacentral:rRNA from 1 species
AUUGAACGCUGGCGGCAGGCUUAACACAUGCAAGUCGAGCGGAGCGAGGGUGCUUGCACCUUAGCUUAGCGGCGGACGGGUGAGUAAUGCUUAGGAAUCUGCCUAUUAGUGGGGGACAACAUUCCGAAAGGAAUGCUAAUACCGCAUCCGUCCUACGGGGGAAAGCAGGGGAUCUUCGGACCUUGCGCUAAUAGAUGAGCCUAAGUCGGACUAGCUAGUUGGUGGGGUAAAGGCCUACCAAGGCGACGAUCUGUAGCGGGUCUGAGAGGAUGAUCCGCCACACUGGGCAUGAGACACGGCCCAGACUCCUACGGGACGCAGCAGUGUGGGAUAUGGGACAAUGGGCGUAGGCCUGAUCCAGCCAUGCCGCGUGUGGGAAGAAUGCCUUUUGGUUGUAAAGCACUUUAAGCGAGGAUGAAGCUGCUAGUAUGUAUACGACUGGAUAGUGGACGUUACUCGCGGAGUAAGCACCGGCUAACUCCGUGCCAGCCGCCGCCGUAAUAC